UACGAAGGGGGCUAGCGUUGCUCGGAAUGACUGGGCGUAAAGGGCGCGUAGGCGGAUGGCACAGUCAGAUGUGAAAUUCCCGGGCUUAACCUGGGGGCUGCAUUUGAUACGUGUGAUCUAGAGUGAGGAAGAGGGUCGUGGAAUUCCCAGUGUAGAGGUGAAAUUCGUAGAUAUUGGGAAGAACACUGGUGGCGAAGGCGGCGACCUGGUCCUUGACUGACGCUGAGGCGCGAAAGCGUGGGGAGCAAACAGG
rnacentral:rRNA from 1 species